UACAGAGGGUGCAAGCGUUGUUCGGAAUUACUGGGCGUAAAGCGCGUGUAGGCUGCAAUGUAAGUCGGAUGUGAAAGCCCUCAGCUUAACUGAGGAAGUGCAUCUGAUACUGCAUCGCUUGAGUGUCGGAGGGGAUGGCGGAAUUCCCGGUGUAGAGGUGAAAUUCGUAGAUAUCGGGAGGAACACCUGUGGCGAAGGCGGCCAUCUGGACGACGACUGACGCUGAGACGCGAAAGCGUGGGUAGCAAACAGGA
rnacentral:rRNA from 1 species